GCCUGGGUUUGAGCCGUGCCCCUGCGACCCCCCCCCCCUCCCCAGCAAGUCAGGGGGGAGGUGGGAGGAAGGACAGAGCGGGGCAAAGGGGGGUCCCGCAGCCCGGAGAAGGGUUCCCGGGAACCAUCCCGCGUUGGCCUGGCAGUGGCUUCCGAGCCUGCGUGUGUCCCUCCCUUUCGAGCCAAAUCUUAGGGGGAAAAUUGCGUUGUUCUGUCUUAAAUCAAUACCCACAGCAAGGUUCUGUUGCAAAUACUCUGAUAAAGAAAUUAAAAUUCGGUUAUAUAAAAGAGUUAGGUUUGAUUAAGGAAUAGAAAAUCGUGAAGCAUAAUGUACAGGAGUGUUAGGUUUGAAAUGUAGUCAUAAAACUUUAGGACCUGUGUUAUGUGUGACCAUAGGAACCUUAGUAUUGUUAAGUUUGAAAUAAGCUAACCAUAGAAACUUCACCAGGAACUUACUGGUUUUCUUAUGUUUUGUUUCAAGAAACUAAGGAAACCAUCAUGGACACCAGUUUGCUGCUUGGAAACCCCCUUACUCUUCCCAUCUCAAUUUGAGUAUGGAGGAUUCCAAUCAGUAGAGCUAAGUGAAAUUGACCAAUGAUUGUUUUUAAAGAAGAAUAUUGAUAAGAUCCCAGCUUUCCACUGUGGUUUUUCAUGAGUUGGUGUCCGUAGUUUGACUUCAGUGCAACUGGGGACAAUACGUCGAGGGGGCUGAGUGACGGGGAUAGGGACUUCAUAACGCCUUAAAGACGGAUGCUUACGCGGGACCAGGCUUUCUGCCCAAGGAAGGAAGCACGGCUGACAUCAGUUGGAGGGAAAGCAAGCUGGAGCAUUGGCCGAGAGCCUGGGCUGGAAACUGGAGGAAUCUGGAGGAAGACAGAAAUCUGGUGUCAGGACUGGGACCACUGUGAAGCUGGGAGAGGGGAAAGAAAUGGGCUCUGGCGUGACUGACCCGCGGGUGGAAGAGGUGGCUGGAGAUGGCGUGUGGUGGAAGCUGGGAGAUGGAGGGCGAUGCCCCUCUGCACCAAACGGCCUCAGAGCUGCUGCUGCUGUGUUUAAACCCCUCUAUCAACACAAAAGAGCACAGCGCUAAUAAUACCAGCCACAGUCAUGAGUUUUUCUUCCCGGGUUGGCUUAGAGAAAAUGCAUAAUUUAAUUUUUCAUUUGAAAUAGGCCCCCCUGCUCAACAGUUGUGGGCUGAGGAUGACUGGGAAGGCAAUUUUCUUUUUUAAACCAAUUUCUUUUGAAAAGCAAACAGAGGCUAUUUAUAUAUCAAAUGAGAAUGCUGGUAACCAUUUAAACAUGUGGAAUAUUGGCUGUUUGCUCUAAAUAUAGCAGAUGCAAUCGCUCACUUUGUUCCUACUGUCAGGAAUAGAUCCCGGCUCGGGCGCUGAUGCUGGAAUGUGCGAAGGAGCCCGGGGGAGCCCAGGUCCCGCUGAGCAGAUCCCUGCAGGGAGGCUGGUGGUAUUUAUGGUCCUUGACUGAGCCAAGCAGGAGGUACAGGAUGCUGCGUCCUUUGCAUGCGGCUGAGCCAAGAGGUUCAUUUCUGUCACUUUUUAUGGGCUGUUUCUAAAGCAAGACUUGAUUCAGGCUCCGUGGGGGACACUUUCCUCUGUACUGUGCUGGUUUUAACUCUCCCCUUGACUUUACGGAGGAGGACGGCUAAUUGCUAGGCUGCUGGACGCCUGCCUCUGAUGGCUGAGUCAGGUAGUCGUUAGAGCAGGUGACAACACGCAGAUACCAUUCAGCCGUACCUCAAGUGCUGUCAAUCGGCAUUUCUUUGUGCCGUUCAGUUCCCAUUUUGGGUCAUGUGUUCCCACAGCAGCUGGAACACACAGCUUUGUCUGGUUCCUCCCUGUCCCUGCCUCUCACCUUCUCUUUCUUGUGAGAACAGCUCCUCCAGCUCCCUCAGGUGACCCAUCUCUGUCAUUUGGGGCUUGUCAUGUCUCAUGGCAAGUCCAGGGGAGAGCGAAGAUGUUUUGUGGUAGGGUUGUGGUUCAACAGGCUCCUCCAUCACUGAAGAUGCUGGUGAAUUGGUUGGAGGAGACUGUGUGGUCACCAUUUGAGUGUCAACCUAUGUGAGUGACACAGUAGAGCUGUUGUCUGUACUGUGACAGCGCGUCCAUAUCCCUGGUGAGGACUGCGGGGAGAGGUGAGACCCAGCUGACAGGUGUGGCAGGGAAGAGAAGACAUACUUUUGGGCAUGCAGAGGAGUGUUGACCUCAGGUGAGGAGCAGUGCUGGUGUGCCCUAAUCUUCACCUGCCCUCGUGGAGCUCCAAGCUGUGAGACCCUUGUCCCCAUGGGGUGACUGUUCAAUGACCUGGGUUACAUCCUUGUGAUGCAGUUCCUAGCAGAUAUCGCUAACAACAUGGUCUUCCCCAUCCACAUCACUUCGCAGUCCUGUCAAGGUCUCCAUCUCGGACGGAAGGGCUGUAUGUCUGACCAUCUGCUGUUCUCAUGUGGAGCUGGUGUUGGUUUGCAGUUCUUCCUAAUUUUCAGUCUGGAUUUUUUCACCCCCUGCCAGUUCCUCAGCAGAAGGGUUUGAAUGAGCACCCUAUGAAAACUCCUAGUGAGGCAGCUAAAACAUGAACAAAGAUGCUUAGUGUUGAAUGAAAAGAGUAAUUUCCCCCUGGAUUUGGUAAUAAACCUGAAGUGCAAAUGAUCGA